GACGAACGCUGGCGGCGUGCUUAACACAUGCAAGUCGAACGGAAAGGCCCUGCUUUUGUGGGGUGCUCGAGUGGCGAACGGGUGAGUAACACGUGAGUAACCUGCCCUUGACUUUGGGAUAACUUCAGGAAACUGGGGCUAAUACCGGAUAGGAGCUCCUGCCGCAUGGUGGGGGUUGGAAAGUUUCGGCGGUUGGGGAUGGACUCGCGGCUUAUCAGCUUGUUGGUGGGGUAGUGGCUUACCAAGGCUUUGACGGGUAGCCGGCCUGAGAGGGUGACCGGCCACAUUGGGACUGAGAUACGGCCCAUACUCCUACGGGAGGCAGCAGUGGGGAAUAUUGCACAAUGGGCGGAAGCCUGAUGCAGCAACGCCGCGUGCGGGAUGACGGCCUUCGGGUUGUAAACCGCUUUCGCCUGUGACGAAGCGUGAGUGACGGUAAUGGGUAAAGAAGCACCGGCUAACUACGUG
rnacentral:rRNA from 1 species